AGAGUUUGAUCCUGGCUCAGGAUGAACGCUAGCGGCAGGCCUAACACAUGCAAGUCGAGGGGUAACAGGGAAAAGCUUGCUUUUCCGCUGACGACCGGCGCACGGGUGCGUAACGCGUAUGCAACCUACCUUUUACAGGAGUAUAGCCCAGAGAAAUUUGGAUUAAUCCUCCAUAAUAUCUUUUUCAUGCAUAUGAAAAAGAUUAAAGCUUCGGUGGUAAAAGAUGGGCAUGCGUUUUAUUAGCUAGUAGGUGAGGUAACGGCUCACCUAGGCCACGAUAAAUAGGGGCCCUGAGAGGGGGAUCCCCCACACUGGUACUGAGACACGGACCAGACUCCUACGGGAGGCAGCAGUGAGGAAUAUUGGACAAUGGACGAAAGUCUGAUCCAGCCAUGCCGCGUGCAGGAUGACGGCCCUAUGGGUUGUAAACUGCUUUUAUACAGGAAGAAACACUCCCACGUGUGGGGGCUUGACGGUACUGUACGAAUAAGGAUCGGCUAACUCCGUGCCAGCAGCCGCGGUAAUACGGAGGAUCCAAGCGUUAUCCGGAAUUAUUGGGUUUAAAGGGUCCGCAGGCGGUCUAUUAAGUCAGAGGUGAAAUCUUGCAGCUCAACUGUAAAAUUGCCUUUGAUACUGGUAGACUUGAGUCAUUGUGAAGUGGUUAGAAUGUGUGGUGUAGCGGUGAAAUGCAUAGAUAUCACACAGAAUACCAAUUGCGAAGGCAGAUCACUAACAAUGUACUGACGCUCAUGGACGAAAGCGUGGGGAGCGAACAGGAUUAGAUACCCUGGUAGUCCACGCCGUAAACGAUGGAUACUAACUGUUCGACCUUCGGGUUGAGUGGUUAAGCGGAAGUGAUAAGUAUCCCACCUGGGGAGUACGCUCGCAAGAGUGAAACUC
rnacentral:rRNA from 1 species